UACGAAGGGGGCUAGCGUUGUUCGGAAUUACUGGGCGUAAAGCGCGCGUAGGCGGUGAUCUUUGUCAGAGGUGAAAUCCCGAGGCUCAACUUCGGAAUUGCCUUUGAAACGGGAUCGCUUGAGUCCGAGAGAGGAUGGCGGAAUUCCUAGUGUAGAGGUGAAAUUCGUAGAUAUUAGGAAGAACACCAGUGGCGAAGGCGGCUUACUGGUCCGGUACUGACGCUGAGGUGGCGAAAGCGUGGGGAGCAAACAGGG
rnacentral:rRNA from 1 species